CAAGAAUUGUGAUGAAGUGCACCAAUAUGAGGAAGAACACAAAUCUAUGCUUGAAGGAACUAGCCACGCACAUAGAAAGCACACCGAAGAAUUUCCUAGAUGGUUUGAACGUAAAAUUUACCAACUGCACAAAGAGACCAGUCAGGUGAGUGAAGAACU